rnacentral:piRNA from 1 species
UAUAUCACCAAGUGUGGUCCAAACUGAGC